rnacentral:tRNA from 1 species
UCCCUGGAGGUCCAGUGGUUAAGAUUCUGCAUUUCCAAUGCAGGGAAUGAAGGUUCAAUCCCUGAUUGGGGAA